GACACUCGGCAAAUAUUUUUUAUUUUUUUUGUUUCUAGCCUCCAAACUUUUUCUCCAAACAUCAUUAGGUAACCUUAACUUUAUGUGAAAGUUUUAUAUCAUUCUCAAUCUAUUUGCUAUAUUUAGUUAAUUUAGCUCAUUUAAUUGAAUUUUUGGGGAUAACUCAAAUUUUAACUGUAGGUGGUUCAAGUAAUUGUAAAAAAUGAAUGGAAAAAUGAUAUUCAUGUUUUUUCAAAUCGAAUAAAGUUCAAAUAUAGGAAGUUACAUCAAAUUUCAAAUAUCUUGCUCAUGAAGCAUGAGAACAAUGUUGUGGCCUAGUCGUUUUUAAAUUCUAUAAAAACCAAACAAACUCUGAAAAUCACGAGAUUUCUCAAAAUGUCAUGAUAUCAUAUGUGGAGGUUGUGAUAAAAAAUUGAGAAGAUUUCACGAAAGCUGUCAUGUACGUU
rnacentral:lncRNA from 1 species